rnacentral:rRNA from 1 species
UACGUAGGGUGCGAGCGUUAAUCGGAAUUACUGGGCGUAAAGCGUGCGCAGGCGGUUCGUUAAGUCAGCUGUGAAAGCCCCGGGCUUAACCUGGGAAUGGCGGUUGAAACUGGCGAACUUGAAUCUGGCAGAGGGGGGUGGAAUUCCACGUGUAGCAGUGAAAUGCGUAGAGAUGUGGAGGAACACCGAUGGCGAAGGCAGCCCCCUGGGCUGAGAUUGACGCUCAGGCACGAAAGCGUGGGGAGCGAACAGG